AUUUUUGUGGGUUGAUUAACUGGCCUGAGCCCAACCCCAACCCUAGUAUAUCAAAAUUUAGUGUGAAUUGGGCUCAGAUCGGAUAGUUAUUGGGCAUGGGUUGAAGUAAAAUCCAGUCCAGCCUACCUGAGUUGCACCCCUACCAUUAAUUGUUACAAACAUAAUAGCAUCACCUUUUAUAUCGAAAAGAAAAAAAAAGGUAAUAGCAUCAAGUUCAAAUCUGUGCCGCACCGGCUCUCGCCCCACAAACGCCCCACACGCUGAGCGUCCGUCAUCUGUCCCUUCGCAUGCAAUUAGCUUGUCCUGCCUUUGGGGCUACCAGGACGGCCGUUAGCUCGUCCAGUUAUCCCCAAAACUAGCCCAAAACCGAGUCAAACAUUCCUGCGUGCUUGAGCUGCCGGUCCCCUGACCCCGUUCUUCUUCCUUUACCCAAGUUCUCCUUUUCCGGCAUCGGUGACCGCUUCGGUGAGUUCACCUUGAGCAGGUAGUCUCCAACACUAUUUUGUUGAAAUUGAAACACAAUGCUAUUUUGUUUUUUCAUUUCAAAUCAGCAAAACCUCAAUUCCCUGAUAUUUUAUUUUCUCAUUUCAAAUCAGAGAAACCACCAACCAUCUACAACGACCACCGGCGAUCAUUCUGCCAUUUCACUGUCACUGAAAUCAGAGAAACCACUGGCAACCGUGGUUUUUCCUCCGGCACCGGCGAUCAUCCGGCCAUUUCACUGUCACAGUCAUCUGUGGAAAAGAACUUGGGUUUGGACGUUUGAUAGCUGAUAAAAUGUCGAAACUUCGCCAUCUUGAACUUGGGUUUGGACGUUACGGUGAUCGUGGUCUUGGUGCCAUCUUUACAUCUCCAAUACCAGCUGCACCUGAUAGUACACUAAAACGAAGUUUCAGUGAUCGUGGUCUCGCCGAUUGGAUAAAAAAGAAAAGAAGAAAGAGAUCCAACACUUCAGUGAAUUUUUUCCUUUCUUUUCUUUUUUUGUUAUUCUUUGAAUAGUCAGAAUCAGAAGAGCACAGUGCAUUUUGCCCUGCCCAUAACAAAAAUAUAAUUUCCAGGAGAACAAUGAAUGAAGGAAGCUUCUGCAAAAGGACAAUAGAAAUCAAAUGCCUGAAUCAAAAACAAUCUGCGCCUGAUGAUCCCUGAAAUCUGUUUUAGCAAUUAUCUUCUCCCUGGGUUUGAAUUUUCUGUCAAAUACUGCUUUCCUCUCAAUCCAGAGGCUCCGGAAAAUGGCAAAUAACAUCAACUUCCACUGGAUAUUGCCUCCGCUGCUGAGAUCCAAGACUAGCCAUGCUGUUAUCAGAUCGGUCAAAUGCCUAGGCAUCACCCAGGAUCCGUUGGGCAACUGAAUGAAGUGUAGCCAAAUAUCAUACACAUAAGAAUAAUAUAUGUUGGAGAAUACUUGGACAGAGUGAACUCACUGGAGCGGU